rnacentral:rRNA from 1 species
GGCCUUUUGAAAAUAAUUUAAGGUCUGGCCUGCCCACUGAGAAAUUGAAGGGCCGCGGUAUUUUGACCGUGCUAAGGUAGCAUAAUCAUUAGUUUUUUAAUUGAAAGCUUGUAUGAAUGGUCGGAUAAGAAAAUAGCUGUCUCUAAUUAAUUUUUAUUGAAUUUUAUUUUUAAGUAAAAAAGCUUAAAUAAUUUUAAAAGACGAGAAGACCCUAUAGAGUUUUAUAAAUUAUUAUUUUUAAGGUUUUAGAAUUAUUAUUUUAGAUAUAAGGAUUUAUUUGAUUGGGGUGAUUGAAAAAUUUGAUAAACUUUUUUUAAUAUAGUUCCAUUGAUUUAUGAUAAAUUGAUCCAAAAUUUUUGAUUAUAAGAUUAAAUUACCUUAGGGAUAACAGCGUAAUUUUUAUAGAGAGUUCAAAUCGAAAUAAAAGAUUGCGACCUCGAUGUUGGAUUAAAAUUAAUUUUUGGUGCAGAAGCUAGGAAUUUUAGGUCUGUUCGACCUUUAAAAUUUUACAUGA